AGUAAGUAACAUGUAAUUCCUAAUCUGAUAUACUUUACUUGUGGAAGCUCAUUCAGUGUAUCUUGAAGCCCAGUGAGGAUUUCUAUUGACAGUGGUAGGCAUUAGAUUGAUAUGAUUAGAGAGAAGAAAGAAGACAUUUCAUACAAAAUACUGUAAUAACUGAAAAUUAAGAUAAACAGAAAUUAGACUGUUUUGAAGUCCUGAGCAAUGUUCUUCAUUCCUAUGGCUGUGGCUAACAUGGAAGUAGAAGUGGCUUUCAGAGUUGAAGACAGGGAGCUAAGAAAAACAAAAAUUGUCAUGACUGACAAAAAAAAUAAUGAUAAAAAUAGACAAUUACUGGAGAGAAAUACAUUCUUGCUUUUCCAGAGUAUUUUAGAACCUCAAGAAAUGACAUACCUGUUCACUGCUGAAGAGAUUUUGUCCAUGUUUGAGGACCAUAAUGAUAGUCUCUGUGUGAAUUUUUUACAAUAAAAGUUACCUUUUUUUACAGUACCCAAAAAAUUUGUCUUCUAUAAACUACUACAAAAGCAAUGAAAGAAUUCUUCAUAAUAAAAUACAUCUUAAUCUUUUUCCUCUUGAAGUGUUUUCCAAAAAAUAUUUUAAUCAACUCUAACCUCUUUUCAAGCUUAUCAAACACAGUAACUCAGUAGAAGUAACAAUGCAGCUCAACGUAGAUCAUUCAUGCAUAAUUUAUAUUUGUUCUUUUAAAAGGGAAUGUUUUUACCUAAAAAAAAAAAUAAAAAUAUAGAACUAGUUUUUCAAAGUAAUUUCACUUAUUUCUACAGUAUUUUCUCUAUACAAAGCAAGAAAUCAGCCAAUAUUAUCAGGUGAACAGAUGUGGUAGCAUAUGAAAGGACCAGCCAACUGCCAAUUAAAUUGGGGAAAUAAUGAUGAAGCAAACAAUAUUUGAAAAUGCAUUUCUUUGUAUUAUAUAUCUCACUUCAAGACACUGAAAGGAAGGAGGGAAUAGGAAACUGCUUAGAUGAUUUCCUAUUCUUUAACUUUAAAUGCAAUGUUCCUCUCUAUAAAAGGACAAUUGUACAAAGCUAUAGAUACCCUAUACCCUGACUUUAAGGCGAUUUUUGACAUGGUUUUGCAUGAUAUAAGGUAGCAGGGUAUAAAUUGAAUUACUAGGAGACACAUGCAAAACAAUAGUUAUCAACUCCCAAACCAGAAAGGGCAUCUGUCUUUUCUGGGUUUAGAAAAAUCAAGUAAUUAUUGUUAAGUAGUUGGAUGAAACUAAGCGUACAUUUAGAAGAUGUUCUAUGCAUCUGGAAAAGUCAAGGGCUGCAGUUAAAAACAAUUGUGAAAAACUGAAGAAAUGUAAGGAAAAGCAAUAUACAAUUCAGUAUUCUGCAGAACAAGGUCUGGGUUUUGACUUCAUGUUGGGAUGCACAAACAAGUAUUCUGUCACUAUGUUACAAAAAAUAAACUAUCCAGUCUUCAGGCUCCAGAAAGGGAAUUUUGUUUGCUACCACUGCCCCCCAAGAAAGAUGUAAAAGACUAGACAGAGCCUAGGAGAGUUCAAGGAGAAAAUGAUCAGAUUAGGAGACUUAAACUUUUAGGAAAAAAAUUAUAGUACAAAUUUUUAGUUUAGAAAAGGAAAAGCUAAAAGACAGUGUAAGAUGUCCAGGUAUGUAAAACAUGCAUGCAGAUAACUUUUCAAAUUAAGGGAGAGAAACCUAUUUAUAUGCUGUAAAUUAGCAAUAAGGAAAAAAGUUUCACCAAAUUUAAUUAUUAAGAUAAUCUUUAUAGAAUCAUAGGGAAAAAAAUGCUAGAAGAGGUUGCAAAGGGGAAACUGUGCAAUCACUGUAGUUGAAGAUUUUUUGGUGUUUAGACCACCUUCAGCUACAUGCUGGUACAUAGUCUUACAAAAACCAGCCUCAUUUGCAAAAAAAAAAUUGCAGCUACUCCAUCAGUAAACACAGAUGGAUGCCAAGGGAAAAAUUAAGCAUAUGACUAGGAAGGAUGUGUGAGCUGAACAACCAUCUCCUGACAGUUUAGUUUAAUGGUAAGUGGUUUCACAUCACUGGGAGAUAUGAAACCAUGUGUGUGUCUCUGGUAGUUCAUGGAUUAAAUUGAUUUUGUGCUUCUCCAACCGCUAAGGAUUACAACAAAAGAAGGUCAUUGCGGGAAAUUCAGCAACAUACAUUAAUGAGAGGAAGACAGAUUUCUGGAUUUUUUUCCUGAGGUGACAUUUAUAUAUAAGUUUAACAGGUUUGAAAUCAGUUUGUUCCCAAGGAGAUACUUCUAGAGAAGCGAAUUUUUUCUAAAGUCCAUCCAGUAUAAUCUUUUUAAACCAGAAGUAAAAUGGCAGGCAAAUGGAUAGUCCAUUAAUUGGCUUUGUAGAUCUCAAAAAUUUGAGCUGUUCUCUGUCCAUCCACUUCUUCCUUUUUUCUCAAAAAAAAAAA
ensembl:lncRNA